CCUACGGGAGGCAGCAGUGGGGGAUAUUGCACAAUGGGGGAAACCCUGAUGCAGCGACGCCGCGUGGGCGAAGAAGUAUUUCGGUAUGUAAAGCCCUAUCAGCAGGGAAGAAGAAAUGACGGUACCUGAGUAAGAAGCACCGGCUAAAUACGUGCCAGCAGCCGCGGUAAUACGUAUGGUGCAAGCGUUAUCCGGAUUUACUGGGUGUAAAGGGAGCGAAGGGGGCACGGCAAGCCUGAUGUGAAAGCCCGGGGCCCAACCGCGGGACUGCAUUGGGAACUACCGGGCUGGAGUGCCGGAGAGGUAGGCGGAAUUCCUAGGGUAGCGGUGAAAUGCGUAGAUAUUAGGAGGAACACCAGUGGCGAAGGCGGCCUACUGGACGGUGACUGACGCUGAGGCUCGAAAGCGUGGGGAGCAAACAGGAUUAGAUACCCUGGUAGUC
rnacentral:rRNA from 1 species